CAGUCGCCACGGUAAUACGGAGGGUGCAAGCGUUAAUCGGAAUUACUGGGCGUAAAGCGUGCGUAGGUGGUGGUUUAAGUCCGUUGUGAAAGCCCUGGGCUCAACCUGGGAAUUGCAGUGGAUACUGGGUCACUAGAGUGUGGUAGAGGAUAGUGGAAUUUCCGGUGUAGCAGUGAAAUGCGUAGAGAUCGGAAGGAACAUCUGUGGCGAAGGCGACUAUCUGGGCCAACACUGACACUGAGGCACGAAAGCGUGGGGAGCAAACAGGAUUAGAUACCCGAGUAGUCCCUGUCUCUUAUAC
rnacentral:rRNA from 1 species